ACAGUUUAUUCAUCACCGGUUUUCUGGGAAUCAUUCUUGCUGAUCAGCAGGAGAAUGCUUAGAAAAGUCCCUGUUCUUCUUGCUGAGCCGUACUGACCCGGCCACAAUUGUCGGCCCGCCUUGCAGCGAUGUGUCAGCAGUCUUAAAAUAACGGCAUCUUUUUUGCCGUAGGAAAAAUCUCUCCAUGAGAAAUUUGGCAAAAUCCAAACAACAGGUGGUAGAAUCCUUGAGAUCAAGAGCCGAUUCUCCAUGGAUGCAGCAAUGACCAAUUUUCGGUGUACUGCUGGAGUCUGAGGCUGCACAAAUUAUCACAGUAUCAGUGUGUGCAACAUUCACAUCGCAAAGGUCUGUUUGGAGCGCAAUAAAUAUUGGCUGAUAUAUUCAGUGUUAAGAACUUCCAUUUUAUGUGGUAAUGUGGCUUUAAUCAGUCAGACAGAGUCUCACAGCAGCAGAUGCUUGUACAGAUACAGACACAUUACCCAAAGCGCUGAAGGUCACAGAUGAUGGACCCUCAGAUGAGAAGGAAAAAAGAAAAUGGGAAUAUAAUGCAACUAAUAUCUAAUAUUCUCCCCAUUGCAAGCUUCUCUACUGUCGUGCGGACAAAGUGGAGUCUGUCGGAUUAAAUUUUUUAAUGCCCCCGUAUUUCAAGGGGCUCCUGAAGCCAUGCGGUCUCAGCAUCCCAGCAUCCUUCAGUAGAUCAACAGACCCACAGCAUCACAGAUCCUUCUCCGUACUUAACUGUAGGCAAGAAGUGUUUUUCCCACUCACUCAUCCUUUAUGUUCAUGCCAAACCAAUGAAGUGUUGCCUAAAAUCUCAGGCCCAAUGUUCCAGUUCACAUUCCAGUAGACCUCAGCAGGCUUUACGUGUUAUAUUUGUGAUGGUUGGAAUGAUUGGCAUUUUUCUAGCAUCGCUCACAAAAAUCUGGUUGGCAUGCAGAAAGCAUCCAGUGGUUGUUAUGGAGACUCAGUGAGCCUCAGGGUUAAAAUUUCUCUCCUCCCUUCCACAUCCUGCUCACUGUACAUGAAGAUAACAGAAUGGGUUAUAUUUGUCACGUCGUGUUAACAAUCCAAGAGAAGUCACAGGAUUAUGCAGUGCAACAAUCGGACAGUAAAAUGACAUUAAUAAUUGAAUAAUCUCUUUUAAACCCUGAGUUUUGGCUCUCAAAUGCCAAAAUAGUGCAACUUUCAUGAACUUAUAUAACAUGUAUAAUAGUAGUCGGGAGAGAGAAGCCUGCGUUCAAGAGACAU